rnacentral:lncRNA from 1 species
UCCAGAAUUUCAAGAAAAAGGUAUAUAUUAUAUGUAUAUAAAAAGCAAGGAUCUCAGUGAAUGUCAAUAUGUUCUCUUAUAAGUGAGAGUUUCAUGUCCCCAAUAACUAUGUCUCUUUCUAUUUAUAAGGGAACAUGUGCCAUAAAAUCUUAAUAGUACAGACCCAGAAAAUAUCCACCGAAAUAUUUCCUUUAAAGUUUUGUACUAAAACUAGCUGUUAUUAUGCUGUUUAAGACAAGUGCUCGUCCUCUACCUAGAUCUAUGUUGACUCCUAUCGACCCCGCCCUUUAUCUCUUGUGAGAUCGCUACGACCUUGAACAUGCCUUUUGUCGAAGC